CGGGAUGUAGCACAGUCCGGUUAGUGUACCUGGUUUGGGACCAGGGGGUCGCGAGUUCGAAUCCCGCCAUCCCGA
rnacentral:tRNA from 1 species